AUGCCUGAACUGUGCUCCUGUCUCUUUUCCAGUAAUCCUGUAGAAAUCAGUGGAGCUGUCAGCAAGAUCUGUCCUCUGGAACCACAACUCUUGAGGCUUCUCUGCACUGUUGCAUCAAGAAUUUUGCCUUUCUUUAUUGUUUCCUCCUUGAAAAGGGAUGUGCUCAGUGCAGAACUAACGAUGACAUUAAGGAGUGAGAUGCUCUCCUGUGAGGUGUUGUGAGGCUUGCCAAAUGUCUAUUUAGACUGCACUAAUGCACAGUGGGCUGCUCUAAGUGGAAGCCUGCCAGUGACCUACUAGUGCUGUUCGUGCCUGGGAGCUGCUGCUGUCAUUGCCUGGCCCCGUCCCCAGCCUCCCCACUCAUCCCUGCUGGCUCCAGUGCUCGAGGCUGCAGGAAGGUGCCUCAGCCACCUCAGUGCUGCAAGUCUGACCCUCUCCCCACACUGCCUGGGAAGCCAAAGCACCUGAAUAACACUGUCUUGUUUCACUGUCCAGCUGCUUACUGUGAAAGUCCAAGGGAGAUGCAGAGACAAGGUAGGCAGGGUGUGAGGACUACUCUUAUUUUGUAGGAGUGAGUGUCAUCUUAAAUAUAUGUUAAUGCAUAGCUCAAGUAGUUUGCUAAAUGGCAGCCCUGACUCCACAGCAAUUAAGGUUAGAAAUGUGGGUGAAAGGGCAAAAGAAACCAUCAUGUUUUGAGCUGGAAGGUAUAAUGCUACUGACAGGAGACUUAGCUUACCCUGCCAGUGUUCAUGUUCCUGGUUUGCUGGUGGUGUUCAAACCAUUCUGAAGUGCUUACUUGAAAAGAGUGGUAAUGAGACCUGGCUGAAAAGUCCACAGUUCAGACAUUCACUCUUUUUUGACUAAAAGGAUAAUUGACUUAGAUUCUUAUUGCUCAAGUUUGUUUAUUCAUGUUGAACCACUGACAUCCAAGGACCAUGUUUUAAGUUAUGGCAUUACUAUGAAUUAAAAAGCAUAAUAAAAAUACACAUGCUGGGCUAUAAAUUAUAAAA
rnacentral:lncRNA from 1 species